GUUGCCCCUUUAAUGUUCUCUUUAUCUUCCUCAUUUUUUGUCCCCCUUUCUUUUUGCUGCACCUCAUAAGAAUCUCAUAACUUUAACUCUUGAUGCUUGCGUUUUGAUUUUUGGCUUUGGUUUCCUACUUCUUACCCUUUUCUUUUCCUCUGAAUAUGUCUUGUCCAAUCUUUUUUCCUCCUUACUGUAAUUUGAUUACCUUUUCCUUCCUUUGCCCUUAUCUUUGUUCUAAUUCUUUUCCUUGAGAAUAAAAACCUGGUAAUUUUCCCCUAUAAAGAUGCAAAAGGCCGUUGACAUUUCUGAAUGCUUUCUUUUGUCAUUUGCUUCCCUUCUGGAGUCAGCUCUGAUUUUAUCCAUUUGAUUAGUUAAUUUUCUGUUGUGAACAGGUGUGGUUCCGGCAAGGGGAAGAUGGAAUCAUUUGAGUAUUUUUGUGCAUUGAAGAAUGACCUAAAGCAAUCUACAAAGUCGUAAUGUGCAACAUAUUGAGCACAUGUCUCUUGAACUGUAUAUGUAGGCAAAUAAUUGUUGUAAUGCUUUGUUCAUGCUACUUCAUAUGGUUCUUGCACAUGGCAAGUUUUUCUGUUGACAAACCUAGGUUUUAGUUUUUGGUAACAUCUGUUGUUGCACAGUCCAUGACACUUGUUUGCAUUUCAAGACCAAUGAAAUGAUGCUUCUGCUAGGGCUUUGUAAAUGAAUGAAAAGAUAUGCUUAUACUUGCUUGCUAGUACUUGCAUCUGUGAUGUGCCACCCUCUCUCUCUACCUUUGUUUAUCCCUGCCCUCUGGCUGAAAUAAAUUUAUUUUUAGACAUGUGAAAAGAACUCUACUUUUUGUGCUUAAUUUCAGGGGACGUGUCUUCUGAGAAUGGUGACAAUGAAAUAGAAAACACAGAUGCAGGUAAGGUAGAAAAUGUGAAUCUUUUGGAUCCUUCUUGUGAGAGUAUUGGGGGUGAAGAUGCCAGCACUUUUUUGGAAGAAGGAUGCAGUGAAGAAGAGGACAGUGACAAAGAUUAUGCUAGCAUCCAGAGACCUGCUUUUCUUGUAGAAGGA
rnacentral:misc_RNA from 1 species